rnacentral:misc_RNA from 1 species
GACGGAGGGCGCGAGCGUUGUUCGGAAUCACUGGGCGUAAAGCGCGCGCAGGCGGGUGCGGAAGUCGGGGGUGAAAGUCCGGGGCUCGACCCCGGGAGGUUCUCUCGAUACUCCAUGCCUAGGGACCGGUAGAGGCCAGUGGAAUUCCCGGAGUAGCGGUGGAAUGCGUAGAGAUCGGGAAGAACACCAGAGGCGCAGGCGGCUGGCUGGGCCGGAUCUGACGCUCAGGCGCGAAAGCGUGGGCAGCAAACAGG